UAUUAGUAUACAAUGUGUACAAUGGAAUUAAACUGAAAUUAAAAUCAAAUUAUAGGCAAUUUAUUAAUUCUCAAUAUUUGCUAAUUUAAAAUUUGAAAUAAAUUAGGAUUGCGUCUGUUAUAGGAAAACAAAAACCAAUAUCCUCUCUCUCUAAUAAGUGUUUUCACUCAAUAACGAAGACCUCCUCUCCCUCAACGGAGGCACCUCAUUCUCUCCCUUUCUCAUCCUUUCUCACCGGGAGAUGUUUCGAGUGACGCCGUCGUCCACACCGGCGAACGCCCAGUAGCGCUUGCCGAUCCUGUGGGUCUUUCUCGCAGCACCGCAUCAACCCAGACCUAGAAUGACCCCGUCGCAGCUGGCGUGUGCCUUCCUCCGGACGUUGACGGCGCAAGAGAAAGGGAUCACAAGUGUUUGUCCUUUGAUACGUCCAUCACCGCAUGGACGUUCUUAAAUGGAGUGCCCUGUCAUUCAACCGCCGUGUCAUAUUCCAUCUCUCGUCGGUGAUCACAAUUCAUUGAAGCCACAUGAAAACGCUCCCAACCAUUUCGUCGCCGAGAGUGAGCAAUCUAAUAAGGUUGCCAACUGAUGUUAAUCACAAGAGGAAGGCAACCGAGAGAGAAACAUUUUCGAAUGAGUCAGAAAGCCAAGUUACUCUACCGUGAUCCCAGUUUUGACUUAUCUUUCUUGUAACAAGGAAAAGUAGAACUUGAAAGUUGAAACUAAUUUAAUGCAGUUAUAGUUUGUGCAGUUUCAGUGUAGAUUAGAGAAGUGGAAAAAAAAGUAGGAUCCUAGUUGAAUCCCCCCAAGAUCAAAUCAUAUAAUGUAGAAUUUGACUCUUUUUUUAGAUUUUGGCAAGCUUCAGAUUCAAAUUUUUUUAGCUCUACCUCAUUUUGGGGUAAACAGGCUUGGGGAUUGAGGAAUGUUUUAAGUUAUUAUGAACCAUACUUUAGUAAUCUACAAAAAUCAAAAGGAUUCUUAGUUUAUUUUUUAUUGUUGCAUAUUCAUGUUGAUAUUUUGGUGUCCUUUUACUUUAAUCUAGAAUAUGCCUCAGUCAUUCAACCUUUGAUUUUAAUUUUGUCUAUGUCAAGAAGAAAUUAUUUAUCUC